CGCUAUUGAUAUGGUAAUUGCCCCCAGUACCAUUGCUUAUUCCCCUCCGGGAAUCGAACCCUGGAUUCCUGCGUUGUAGCCCUUAACCUUACCAACCGAGCUACCAGCCGCUGAUUAUAGUCUUUCCAGCAUCAGGUCGGCGUGAGGCGACUCCAUGUUUGUGAGCCGCACCUGUGCAAAGGUGAGCAAACAGGACUCUCCCGGCAGGAUGCAGCUGACGGGCAGCAGAUGUUUGUACUGUAGCUGCUGGCGUCCCUCUGAUAACCGGGGAGUCCGCUCCACACCCGGAGCACCGCUCAGCAAAAACUCCCACAUGUGGACUCUGCUGUUUCCAUGACUUUGUUUUGCUCUAAAGCUCAGAACCAAAUCAUUCAAACGGUUUCAAACAGAAACGUAAAACAUUUGACUUUCAUGAACGCUCUGAGACGAGGCAGCUGCAGAACAACAAACAUUUAUUCAACAAACACCUUAUCUUCUCAGGAUGGCCGAGCCAGCAGUAAAGGGAACAGUGACGUCAUGGUGUGACACGGGAACAGCUCUGGCCACUCAGAGACGCUCAUCCUCGUCCUUCAUCACACCAGUCUGGAUGUGUCUCAGCGGUGGGAUUUCAGGGGGGAAAAAACACUUCACAAAAGGCUUUCGUCUCCUGCUGCUGCUGUUUCUGGUGAGGCUAGGGUUAUCCUGGAGGAGAUAAUCUGACACUAAACUAAAUCCUGCAGCACAAAGAACAAACACACAAGAUGCACAACAAAUGUCAGGGUUUGGAGCCAGAGGUGGAUGUCAGAAACGUUUUCAAAUGAGCAGACGGGUUUUGGUUCCUGGUUGUCGUCCUUGCGGUUUUCCAGAUGUUUCUAAAGAUUCCACAGACGACCAUCUGCUGGUUGAUUUUAUAAUUUUUUUAAGCAAAGUUUAUCUUUUUGAGAAAUCAUCGAAGAAAACAUCUGGAACAUCUAUGCAGAGGAGAGGUUCUGAUCCGGCAGCAGCUUCAGGCUGUGUUUCUCUUCAGCGACACCCCCAUCAGAAACUUGCAGCUCACCGGUUCCAUCCUGACAGGUGGGAGAGCCGGCGGCGUCCACCUGGCUGGGGCUGGACUUGUGGGAGGAGCUGGGGGAGUUUGUGGGGCUGAGCUGGACCGCCGUCGUGUCCUGAAGCGUGUGCUCGCUGGCCUCCAUUUCAAAGGCGGUGGCCCCCAUCCGCAUCAGCCCCCACUUCUCUCCCGCUUUGGCUGUUGUGGCCGCGUGGCCUGAGGGUCUCCUGCUGACCAUGCAGCACGCCGUGAAGAAAGCCAGGGCCACCAGCAGAAGAAGAGGCCCGAUGAUAAUGGGGGGGUUCCCGGUGGGGAGAAAGGUGCCCAAAGAAAACGCUCCGACCAGGGUGAUGUUGAUGCCAGCCAGCAUUAUGCACAAGCCGCAGGCGCAGCACAGGGCCGGGGAGGGCAGGCUCUGGGGCUGCAGGGGUCGCCGCUCGGGAACCUUCUUGGCAGCAGGUGUUCCAGAUGUUUUAUCUAGAACCACCAUGUUUGAUCAUGAAUCCAACGAUCUUCAUCAAGAAGCUCCAAAGGUGUUUGGAUAAAGAGGCAAAUCAGAAAUUUUCAAAAUGAAAGGACUUCCCAAACCCCUGAGGAAGAUCAAACAGACAGGGGAAAGUCACAGAAGGUGGUCUGUCAAUCAUCUGGGUUUCUAUUUAAGCAGAUCCACUAUUGACUAAACUGUAAAGUUCCUCCAGUCUUUUUUCACAUUUAAAAG
ensembl:lncRNA